AAAUGACAUUUGCCGACAUCUCUGGUGCCUGGUGUUAUAAUGUAGCUUGAAUGAAGACGUUUUACUCAAACGUCAAACCAUGUGACAAUUUGUCUGCUGGACUAUAAGCUUUAGGUAAGAAGCCGUCAUAAAUAGACGGCAAGCUACUACAACUGCAGAGGGAGCUUCCCAGAAAUAAAAACAAUCACGCAAAUUAAAUGAAUACAUAUACAAAAAUGAACCUUGAAUGAUAACACACAGCCGUUGCUGUUAUUCCGUCCCGCCAGCGACAAACGCUGAAUCAGACACUUCUCCAGAGCAUGAGCAGAGCAUGAUGUCAUCCCGCUCCAUAAGAGCUGCUGCCUACCGCUGGAAUCUGGACGAACGUAAAUGUUUGACAGCAGCGAGGUUGCCCGCUGCUGAGACGAGCUAGGCUAUAUCCACUGCCAUAAAUUCGUCUUUUGGUAGCUGCCCCGGGGGCCCUCAAGAGGUGAGGAGCCAAGAUCAGGGGCCCCUCAAGAGUAAGCUGACCCCCGCGCUACACCCCCACACCGCAGUCACCGUAUCUCCCGACCUCCCCCCCAGGAGGACGGCCCUAGGGGGGGGGGGUUCUGGCGUUCAGUGUGAAGCCUCUCGAGCUUGCUGUGUUUGUAGAGGCUGAUGUGGAGUCGGAGAGAGCGCCAGGAGUUCUCCAGCGCCGGUGCCACUUUGCAUUAAGCAGCGGCGGGGAGCCAGCAGGGCAGUAACGUGUGUCGUCCCCCCCCAGCCCAGUCCGCGAGAAGGUGGCGAAGUUUAGACAAAACAGGGGCGCCUCAAAGCCGUUGCGCCCCAUCGCCUUAAGCACUGUGACCCUAUCAUUAUAUUACACACGCGCCGCACAGAACCGAUAGGAGCGCUCCCACGCAGAACCCGACAACAAUGCUCUCGUCACACGUACAUCUGGUUCUGUGAGUCAAGCCCGCUGGGUACAGGGUUUAACAUCGGGAGAAAACUCUCUAGCAACAACAUUGUAACAUAGGAGAAGCACUGACUUCUACCGCAGAGCACUGUCUAAGCAUUUUGUAGUGCGGAACAUUAUAGGUUGUAUCAGUGAGAUUUUCCUUCCUUCAGACCACAAGCCAAUUAUAAUGUUUGGAAGGGAAGUUGAAGUAGCUGUUGAGAGAUACCAGACCCGCCACUAUUACCCUAAAUAGAUGCGGGUCUCUCGAUUUUUAAAUCAAGGCUGUUCCGUGUCCUUGUUUUGCAAACAAACUGAAUGGAAAGACCUAUGCAUGAGUUUCGAUGGUGUACACUUUUAACACGUCGAUUUUAAUGCCUGUUAAAGUCGACCCGAAAUUCUUCAAAUGUGCUGGUAGCCCAUAGCGUAUGAGCUGGUAAAUAUAUUUAACACGAUAAGUAAUAUGAAUAUUACAACAAUCAAAAUACUUAAACUAUGUGCUAAACAGAUUGCAAUUAGUAUUUGUACACUUCACAUUCAUGUGUUAAGAAAAAUAAGUACAACAAUAAAUAACAUGAUUUAACUGAACAUUUAGGCAGAUCUAUUAUAAAUUCAUGUUUCUUUUGUUUUUGCAUCCUAUAUACAAAUUGAACAUUCUCAAGAACUAAUCUAAAAAAUUUAAUAAAUAAACCUUGAAGACCCAGCGUGGUUUGGCAAAGUGUGUCAAAUGCCCGUCUAGUUGAUUCCCAGGGAUCAUUGGACCACCGUCACGGGCCCUGCAGUCUUGGCUCCACCCCCUUACUUGCCACUAAAACGUUGUGCAGGUCGGGGGAACCAGAGAUCACAAGGCGCCUUCUCCCAAACAAUUAGCCUGACGGUAGCAGUAACAAUUUCCGACGCCCACCCAAAAGACUCUGGCGGGGUUGAACUCCACAACACCCGUCACACCUUUUGUUAUUCCCCCUAAUCUGACUGAAAAACAAUCCCGUGGACAGAGGGGGUAGUGGACACAGACGGUCUGGAUUAACCAGAGUCCACAUAUGUUUUAAGUGCUCUUUGUUUGUGUGACCCGGCUACAGUUUCCAUGGCGAGAGCUUCGUUUGGGACCGGGCUUGUCCUGGUGGGAGAGGCAUAGCCUUGGCUUUGUGUUUUUCAGAUUCAAUUGUCUCCACGUGGGACCACUGCUCACGGUCAAGCUGGAAAAGUGAUAGAGUGGCCUGGAGUAGUCUGUAAUAAGGUGAGCCCCCGAGCAGUAAGACUUUGAGCAAACACCUAAAAGUGGUAAAAACAUUAUACUGGAAAACGUAUCCCAGACCCUUUUCCUAAGAGUGCAAAUAUAAUUUUUGUCUUAAGCGGAGGCCUCCAGCAGUAAGACAAUGUGCAAACACCUAACAGUGGUAAAAGCAUUAUACUGGAAAACGUAUCUCAGCCCCUUUAGUAGGAGUGCAAAUGUAACUUUUAACAUGUAACGGGGGACAUUGUUAGGCCUAGCUGAUCUCCGGGUACCCUUCAAAGUGUGUGAAAUUGUGGAGCUGUUAGGUUUACAAUACAUUCCCUGGUCCGACCCCAAAAGCCAGAUCAGCCUGGCAAAGAGAAAUAAGCAGCGCAAUUAAAACACUGAGGGACAGAUUAUUUAUACAAAAUAAUGAAUUUGUUUCUAUACAUGCCAAUCAUUUCACCCAAAGGGGAGUUUAAUAAUAUAGAUUUUUCUUCAAAGCGCAGCGGUGUAAAAUGUGCGUCUUUUCCAUGAAAGUGUUUGAGGCAUGUGGAAAGGGUACACCCAGGCCAUGUUGACACAGAGUGAUUAGUUUAUUAUAGAAGGCGAUGGCCUCCAUGUUGCAGCAGCACCAUGAGCGAGCGAUCCGGAAGGCGUUCUCCUGAAAACCAGUGAAUGUCACGCCGUCCAUCGGAUCCGAGAAGUGUUGAGGUGGGGGCGGCGGCCUGUGGCCAGCAAUCUGCCACACGGGAGCACCGCGAUGGUGGUGGUGGUGGUGGGAUGAUGAAUGGAGCCACUCAUCCUUACAUUCUGUUUCCAUAGGGGUGGUGGUGGCGGGGGGCAUACCCCUGCUGUCCCAUAUUGGGCCCAAUGUGCUUAUUGCCACAGUAACAUGAGGCCAGGAUGAAAAGCAACCCCCAUUGCUCGCAGAGUUUCUCUUUCAGGGCGUGGGGACCCUAGCCCACUGCUUUCCUUGGGGCCUUUACACAGGGCUCCGUGUUUUCCAGAAUAACAAGUGUGACUUACUACACAAUCAUUUAGGUAUAAAUUAGAUUGACAGAGUUUCAAAUAUGAGGAAACUCAAUUACAGCCAGAUUACAUGUUGAGCUGAAUUACAUGGAUCAGUGGGCCAGAGGUUCACACUAAACAAGGGUGGAGGUUUCCUUCCUUUGCCAAGUCUGACAGUUAUUAAAUUAGGGGAGGGGGUGGGGGUCUUUGCUUGAUUGAUAGACAGGGAUGUAGGUCGCCUGCCUCUGAAAUUGUAAGCCGAUGUCUCUGGUGACACCUGUGUCCGUGUCUGUUUAUGAUAUGACAUUCCCAAGAUGUUCCUGGCGUCAGGUGACAUUCUGUUGGCCUUAUGACAUAAACACUCAGCCCACACAAGGUGCAAGAGACCAGGAAAGAGCAGGUGUGUUGAGGUCAAUGUCAGGCCCUGGAAGGUCAACCCAAAGUUCAACGGGGACAAGCGCAGGUCACAGAUCUGCGCUACGGGAUCAGAACUGAAAUGGGAUGCUGUGCCUUUUCCUUUGCAAAAGGCCAACUUGUUAAGUGCAAGCGGGUGCGACAGUGUAAACACAGGGUUCUGCAUAAUCAAAGGGCUUCAACCUGUGCUGACAGAGCCAUCAGUUCUGGGCAGACAGGCCCUUACCUCAUAGUCCUCUGGUGCUACAAGGGUAACCUAAGAGAGUUGCUCAGCUCUGGCUGGAAGGGAAGGAAGGAGCAAGCAUCAAAGGCAUUUCUUUCUACCUCACUUCUGGAAGUGAAUGGAGAGCAGUCAGAAGACCCACAGGUGCCCCCCCGCCCUCAUCAGGUUUUGAGCCCACCUCACGGAACCCUGGAUUUCCUUUUUAUAUAAAUAAGACCACAAGGCCCAGAGACCUUGAACCCAAGUCCAAACCCUGUGAUCUCAGAGGCAGCCAGCUGUACUUCUCUUCAUAACUCGAGCAUGUUAACACCCCAGUAGACUAGGCUAACUACACCAUCCAAAACCAAACAUUAAGUGGCUGCAACAGGACCAUAUCUUUCCAUUGUUUUCCUCCAGGUACUCAGCCUGGCAAAACAAUCAGCCGAUAGUGACUGGAAGAGGGAACGACAAAUUGAGUGACGUCUGGGGAACCCGACACCUCAUGCAUCGAUGCGCGACGUCUCAUAACGUUUUAACACACGACAGCACGGGCCGAUCCCCUGAAGGGCCGGUCAGAGCGCAAGGCAUCCAGGAUCCGUACGCCCUGCGCCUGAAGCUAAAGAGGAGACUAACAGACACUGGUGUUAAUUGGAACCAGAGCCGCUGCCUGCAGCUAUCCCGACUGGCUGGGAUACACAGGAAAGGCUGUGCAGACAAGACAGCAGUCAAUCGGGUGAAUUCUUUUUUUUUAGAGGGAACCUUCAUGGCCUCGGAGAGCAGGCAGGUGGGGGUAGUGCUGAGAGAUUGGCAUAUUGUAAAUCACUCUGUUUCCCACCAACUCCAACACGUCACUGUAGUUUACUAGGAAUCACACAAGAGUCAUGGGUGAUUGAAGACUGGGGGAAAGCACAUGGGACUAAUACAUUCCAACCUGUUUGAAAUUAACAAAUUGUCUUUAAAGAAAAAAAAGUGUGGGGGGGAGGGGUGCAGUGUGACCCGUCACAUUUGGACAACUCAUCACAUUUUUUUUUCCAUCUGACGAAAUUCUCAAUCCUUCGUCAACUAUGUUCAAAAGAACAUGAGAUAUUUCAGACGAAGCGGCUGAUGUUUUUCAGUGUAGACUUGAGGAAACGGCGGUAGCACAUUGUUGGAACACAUUGAAGGCAUUAGUGCUCUAUGCCUCCGUUGUUGUUUGACCGAGACAUAUUUCCAGAUGACUGCCUGGACUGUGGCAGGAGAGGAGGAAUACGCAAUGAGGGCCAGAGUCUUCGCUCUGGCCUGCCAGCGCAGCACCCUUUCAUAAUCACACAGACAUUAUGUGCAUCCCGGCUGAGAGAGAUUCAGAGAGAAGAGAGAGCUAGAGAGUUAUGACUGUGGUGGCGUUUCCCCGAGAGACUGCCAAAGGGCGAUGAUUUAGACAAGUCACAGGUCUAGGGGUCUGAGGAUUCCUCGGACACUGUUUAAACACGCGUCUCUUCUGAAGGAGCGAGAAAUGCGAGGGGAGCCGGGGUGAUGAAGCCCUCACCUAGCAGCAACAUUUCCAACACGGUAACCAUGGCAGCAGAGUUGCGGGCCAUCUUCGGUAACCGCUCGGACAAGAGGUUUUAGAAACAACCACUUGAAGUGUUGGCUUGCAGGGAUCGAACCGGCCAUUGUGGGCGCCACAAAUACGGCAGGGAAUAUGAAUGAACAGAAGAGGAAUCGUUUUGAAAAAGCACUUUAUUGAGUUUAAUACAUUGGCCGAUUUUAAUGGUGUAAUAUUUAUAAGCACAGCUUUACAAAUUAUACAGGACAGAUUUCAGAAAGAUUCCUCAAAUCACAUGGUUUUACAAAGUCUGCAUAUUGUUUUUACAUAUGGAUUAUAAACAAGAUAAAGAGAAGUCUAUACUGAUGAAAGUUAAAUGUAGUUCUACUUUGAACAAGAGUCAACAUAAGAAUCUAAACAGGUUUGUUUUUAAUGUUAACGUAUAACUUACCCUAUUGUUAAAAAUGUAUGAGCCACCGUAAUGACAUAUACAGCAAACAUAUACAGCAAAACAAAAAGGAAAAGUAUUUUCCAUGCAGUUUUAAAAGCCGAUAAAACGUCUACAUUUUCACUAGACACAAAGGCAUCUGUGCCCUCGUCCACAUCCCUGUCCUGAGGAGACGGCCUCGCAGUCCUACAUUUCGUGGAAUCCGCAGACGUGCGACAAUCACUCAAACACAGUCACUACAAACAGUCAUGGGUCAGGGCCAUGGUACAUUUGUAUCUGCCUCCCCAAGACCAGCACGACGACAGCCGCACUGGUAAACCCAUUAGCGGGUUUCGUUUGAUUUUUUUUUUUUCCCUAUUCCAAUGGAAACACCCCUAUGACUCACUAUCCUGUUUAAUAUUGGACACUUUUUCCUUUUGUCUAAGUCCAGUCGCGAAUAAAAGGCCCCAAUAUGAAAAAGACCAUUGGUCGGAGUAACCAAUAUUUUACCAACGCUAUCUGCUAGAGCGGGGGGGGGGGGGGGGUCAACAUCUUUCUUAGAAAAAAAGUGUGCCAUUUAUUGAGCUUCUCUUAUUCCCCUGACAUGACUGGGAGAGCUAAUCCGUGCCAGUCCUCCAUUCACGAGCAGCCUUUCCAAGAGCGGGUGAUGAAGCUUUGGAAUCGUUAUGUUUUAUUGUAAACUGUCCCUCCAAAAAAAUUAAAGGACCCGACUAUGCUGUAAAGAAAAAGGAUGGGUGGGGGGCGGGGUUUGCAUUAUCAUCAGGCAUGCGAUUGGGCAGAGACCAGGGAACAUGCAGAGCUGGGGUCGGGUGUGUAUAGGACAAUAAAAGGCAUGCUGGAGACACUAUGGAAGGCUUUGGUCAAAAAUAACAAAGCAAUGUUAAAAUGACAAGUUAGAUUGGCAAGAAUGAACAUUGAAUGGAUUCCCUUUUUAGCAUUUCAAAAAUAAAAAUAAAUGAACACACAAAAAAAACACGGAAGUCUGUCCUUCGACAGAUAAAUGCUAAACAAAUGACCAAGCAAAGGCUUCCUAAUUAAUCGGGGCACAUGCCAGGAAGGGGUGCGAGAGAUUUUCAGAGGAGUUUGUAGCACUGCCUGACAUCAGGCAGUGUGAGGGGAUUGAACAAAACACCCC